rnacentral:rRNA from 1 species
UUAGGUCAUUUAGAGGAAGUAAAAGUCGUAACAAGGUUUCCGUAGGUGAACCUGCGGAAGGAUCAUUACAAAUCUUUGCUCGAGCUGCCGCAAGGUGGUGAGAGACAUUAGCACAAGGCCGCAAGGUCUUGAUGUUUACGCUUGUAUGUUUGACAGAGUUUAUUUGUGACUAUAAUAAUGGCAACUUUUAACAAUGGAUCUCUUGGCUCUUGCAACGAUGAAGAACGCAGUAAAGUGCGAUAUGUAGUGCGAUUUGCAUGAAUCUGUGAGUCAUCUAAUCUUUGAACGCAACUUGCGCCUCUUUGAGGCAUGUUUGUUUGAGUGCCGCAUACCUUUUGCAGCAAUGCGAUCUGGCCAAUGUCUAGUAAUAGACUGGGUCUAAAAGUAGCUAGUUAAUGGUCCUAGUUGGCUAGACCGAGUGCUAAGCAUUCUUGGUCCUAGUCCGCUGUUCCACUAUACUUUUCUAUUUGGCCUCAAAUCAAGCAAGACUACCCGCUGAACUUAAGCAUAUCAAUAAGCGGAGGAA